AGCGAACGCUGGCGGCAGGCCUAACACAUGCAAGUCGAACGAACCCUUCGGGGUUAGUGGCGGACGGGUGAGUAACACGUGGGAACGUGCCUUUAGGUUCGGAAUAACUCAGGGAAACUUGUGCUAAUACCGAAUGUGCCCUUCGGGGGAAAGAUUUAUCGCCUUUAGAGCGGCCCGCGUCUGAUUAGCUAGUUGGUGAGGUAAUGGCUCACCAAGGCUACGUUCAGUAGCUGGUCUGAGAGGAUGACCAGCCACAUUGGGACUGAGACACGGCCCAAACUCCUACGGGAGGCAGCAGUGGGGAAUCUUGCGCAAUGGGCGAAAGCCUGACGCAGCCAUGCCGCGUGGAUGAUGAAGGUCUUAGGAUUGUAAAAUCCUUUCACCGGUGAAGAUAAUGACCGUAGCCGGAGAAGAAGCCCCGGCUAACUUCGUGCCAGCCGCCGCAGUAAGAC
rnacentral:rRNA from 1 species